rnacentral:rRNA from 1 species
UACGUAGGUGGCAAGCGUUGUCCGGAAUUAUUGGGCGUAAAGCGCGCGCAGGCGGUCCUUUAAGUCUGAUGUGAAAGCCCACGGCUCAACCGUGGAGGGUCAUUGGAAACUGGGGGACUUGAGUACAGAAGAGAAGAGGGGAAUUCCACGUGUAGCGGUGAAAUGCGUAGAGAUGUGGAGGAACACCAGUGGCGAAGGCGACUCUUUGGUCUGUAACUGACGCUGAGGCGCGAAAGCCAGGGGAGCGAACGGG